rnacentral:miRNA from 1 species
UUUGUAUUACGUGCAGAAAUUGUUACCAUUUUCGUCUCAAAAAUGGUAACAAUUUCCGCACGUAAUAUCUA